GUGCCCCAUCUACGACGUGGGGUGUGUGUGUGUGUGUGCGUGUGUGUGUGUGUGUGCGCACGCGUGCGUGUGUGGUGAUCCUUCACUUGCUGACUCUGGACCUUUUAUUUUCUUGCUGCCUCUUAUUCUGAUCCCAGUGGCUAAGGACAGGCUGAGAACCUGGCUUCUGACUGCGUACACUGCUGCCCUCUUGUGGACGUGGGCCCAGCCGUGUCAGUGGCUGACGCAUUCUUUGUCACCUGAAGUCUGGACGAACAGGCUACUUAGGGAUCGAACUCGGGACCUUGCACUUGUGAGGCAGGUGCUGGAACCACUGAGCUGAAUCCCCAGCCCCAAAAAGUGUACUACUCUUAAUCUUGCCUCUUUGAUGCCUCCCAGACCUAUGCAAGCAGCCAGAAUAUCAGUGACCUGCUAAUCCAAGACCUUGAGAAGGUGUGGCUCAAUGGUGGAAGUAGCUUUGUCUAAGAAGGAUGUUGAAAGGCAGGUUAUGUGGUUGUCAGUUCAUGAUAGGUCAUUGAAACUAAACUCCUUUCUCUAGGGACUUCUGCUUAAAAAGCAGGGCUUUUUUAAAAAAAGUAAGGGCUCAUAGCCCUUACUUAGGUGCUGAUUUUAGGAAAAGGCAAAAAGCCAAAUAGCGCUAUAGAUUCCAAAUAUACCUUUCUGGUGCUACAUACUCAUGCAGCAGUCUGGAAAGAAAGGAGCGUUCUAACUAAUAAGAAUUCUACAACUCCUAGAGAUAGUCUAUCUUCUCAUGCAGGUUGCUGUCAUUCACUGCAAGAGCCCCAAAGGGACAUAUAUAAAGCAUCCUUGGGAAAUCAAAAU
rnacentral:lncRNA from 1 species